AUCGCUUCUCGGCCUUUUGGCUCAGAUCAAGUGUAGUAUCUGUUCUUAUCAGUUUAAUAUCUGAUACGUCCCCCAUCGGGGGACUACAUAUUAAAUGGAUUUUUCGAACAGGGAGUCGGAAAUGGGGCUUGCUCCGUCCGCUCCGCGCAUCGACCCGGUAUUGCAGUACCUCCGGGAAUGGUGCAACACUU
rnacentral:snRNA from 8 species